GUGGGGAAUAUUGGGCAAUGGGGGAAACCCUGACCCAGCGACGCCGCGUGAGGGAAGACGGCCUUCGGGUUGUAAACCUCUUUUGUACGGGAAGAAGGAAGUGACGGUACUGUACGAAUAAGUCCCGGCUAACUACGUGCCAGCAGCCGCGGUAAUACGUAGGGGACGAGCGUUGUCCGGAAUUAUUGGGCGUAAAGGGCGCGCAGGCUGUGCUGCAAGUCAGCUGUGAAAUGUCUGGGCUUAACCCGGGCAUGCGGUUGAGACUGCAGUGCUGGAGUGCUGUAGAGGCAAGUGGAAUUCCCAGUGUAGCGGUGAAAUGCGUAGAUAUUGGGAAGAACACCGGUGGCGAAGGCGACUUGCUGGGCAGCAACUGACGCUGAGGCGCGAAAGCCAGGGGAGCAAACGGGAUUAGAUACCCCAGUAGUCC
rnacentral:rRNA from 1 species